GCGAGUGAAGCGGGAAAAGCUCAAAUUUAAAAUCUGGCGGCUUUGGUCGUCCGAGUUGUAUUCUAGAGAAGUGUUUUCCGCGUUGGACCGUGUAUAAGUCUCUUGGAAUAGAGCGUCAUAGAGGGUGAGAAUCCCGUCUUUGACACGGACUACCAAUGCUUUGUGAUACACUCUCAAAGAGUCGAGUUGUUUGGGAAUGCAGCUCAAAAUGGGUGGUAAAUUCCAUCUAAAGCUAAAUAUUGGCGAGAGACCGAUAGCGAACAAGUACCGUGAGGGAAAGAUGAAAAGCACUUUGGAAAGAGAGUUAAACAGUACGUGAAAUUGCUGAAAGGGAAACGCUUGAAGUCAGUCGCGUUAGCUAGAACUCAACCAGGCUUGCUUGGCGUAUUUUCUAGUUAACGGGCCAGCAUCAGUUUUGACCGCAGGAAAAGGGCCAGGGAAAUGUGGCAUCUUCGGAUGUGUUAUAGUCUCUGGUCGUAUACUGUGAUUGGGACUGAGGACCGCAGCACGCGCAAGCUGUGCUUAGGAUGCUGGCGUAAUGGCUUUAAACGAC
rnacentral:rRNA from 1 species